GACGAACGCUGGAGGCGUGCUUAACACAUGCAAGUCGAACGAAGAGCGAUGGAAGCUUGCUUCUAUCAAUCUUAGUGGCGAACGGGUGAGUAACGCGUAAUCAACCUGCCCUUCAGAGGGGGACAACAGUUGGAAACGACUGCUAAUACCGCAUACGAUCUAAUCUCGGCAUCGAGGAUAGAUGAAAGGUGGCCUCUACAUGUAAGCUAUCACUGAAGGAGGGGAUUGCGGCUGAUUAGCUAGUUGGGGGGGUAACGGCCCACCAAGGCGAUGAUCAGUAGCCGGUCUGAGAGGAUGAACGGCCACAUGGGGACUGAGACACGGCCCAGACUCCUACGGGAGGCAGCAGUGGGGAAUCUUCCGCAAUGGACGAAAGUCUGACGGAGCAACGCCGCGUGAGUGAUGACGGCCUUCGGGUUGUAAAGCUCUGUUAAUCGGGACGAAAGGCCUUCUUGCGAAUAGUGAGAAGGAUUGACGGUACCGGAAUAGAAAGCCACGGCUAACUACGUG
rnacentral:rRNA from 1 species